UUGGGGAGAAGGGGCCUCUUGUUUCCCCUCAGCUUUAGCUGCUGCUCCCAGUCUGCCACUUUAUGGUUCUGCUGUGUGUUGGCCCUCCUGUGGGCAGGAGCCCUUCCUGCACUCCCCCUGCACACCUGUACUUGUGUUGCACAUGCUGCCGUGCCCUGCUGAGGGGUCCCACUGCUCCUGGGCACUCACGCUUCCCCAGAAGUGUUUAAACCUGCUGCAGUUUCUCUGGCAAUGCCCUCACCUAGUCAAACAAGGGCUGCUGGAUCCUGGCAGCAUGUGUAAAUCUCCUGUGGUCACCACUGGCAACACCCAUCACCACUUCAACAUUAUGAACCAUACAGGUGCUAAGUACAUACAGAAAACCAAAGACUGCUUCGUUUGAAGAUGAUGGGACAAUCAUGCCUAUGUGCCAGAAAAAGCCAUGCCAAGCAGGAGCUGCAGCUGCUGCACAGAAAGUCUACAAAUGGUAACACAGCUCUGAGUAUUUCACACAGUAUCAUUGCUUCACUGAGAUUUCUGAACAGAAUGUAGACAA